rnacentral:piRNA from 1 species
UGGAAGUGUUUUCAAAAUUGUAGU